AAAAAGGGGGGUAUUUCCCAAACACACCGCGUCUCGUCACUGCCCUCCCAUCCGCUGCCCCCCUCCCAAUAACUCAUCUCCUCACGAGCUGAUGUAAGCACAUAUAUCAGGAUCUUGAAUGGAAAGUGUGCGGCAGCAGCGAGAGCAUCCUGACAGAACUUUUUGUCAUGCCUGAAACAUCAUCAAUCAAAUUCUUGCAAGUCAGAUGGGCGAAUCACUGCACAUGAUGGGAGAGACACCGGCAUUGCAUCACAUAGAUCAAGAAGAACAAAAGUUUGCGUUCCAGUUUCUUCACGCAAAGUUUACUUGGUACACAGGACACGGCGCUUCAGAAAUGGCUGUACACACCAUAUCUUAACAUUAUCGAUCUGCAUACCUGCCAUCACAACACAACAGCACCCGGCCACCAAUUUACAUCACACGCUUCUAACGUACCGCCACCUUAACCCCAUCUGUUCAUACAUCACCUUCAUGUAUGCGUUUGUGUAUGUGAUCUUAUUGCAUGCAAAUGUGUGUUUAAAUGUACACACGCCCGACCGUGCGUAGGGAUGCUUGGCGUGGGGGGGUCGAGCGGCUGCGGUGGUAGGCGGUGACAGAAAUUGAGGGGGACGGGGUGGCAGCUGUGGGCUGCUCAGAGCACUGUCAGAGCAGAAUGAUUAAUGAACGGCAGCCCCAGCUGAGCCUAACCUUUGGAGAACCGCGCAGGACAUCUGCAGAACUGUCAGCGCUCUGACAAGGACAGAGCUGAACAACCAAUUAUUUCGCCAUCACUAAGGUGGGCUGUCAGCUUAAUCCUAGCCAUUCACUUAGGCAAGGACAGGCAAAUUUCUCCUUUACAUACACAUAGAGGCAGGGCGCUGCAUGGACACACAUACACACAAACAGACACGCGGUCGCAUGCAAACCGCUACGGUGAAACGCGUACACACACAUGCCUAGACAAAAUAGAAUUAACCCCCACUGUGCCAGAGGUGGC